rnacentral:rRNA from 1 species
CGGAUCCCUGAAAACCGGUCUCAGUUCGGAUCGCAGUCUGCAACUCGACUGCGUGAAGGUGGAGUCGCUGGUAAUCGCGGACCAGCAACGCCGCGGUGAAUGCGUUCCCGGGCCUUGUACACACCGCCCGUCAAGUCAUGAAAGUGGGCAGCACCCGAAGACGGUGGCCUAACCCUUGUGGGGGGAGCCGUCUAAGGUGAGGCUCGUGAUUGGGACUAAGUCGUAACAAGGUAAC